AGCCAAAGCUCUGCUCGUUGCUCUUCCUCUCCGAAGGAAACAUGAGUAGUCGUGGGAGUCGCACCAUAUAUGUAGGUAAUCUUCCUGGAGAUAUUCGGGAGCGGGAAGUUGAAGAUCUGUUCUACAAGUAUGGACCCAUUAUCGACAUUGAUCUGAAGAUACCUCCAAGGCCUCCAGGUUAUGCUUUUAUUGAGUUUGAGGAUUCUCAUGAUGCUGACGAAGCUAUUCAUGGCCGUGAUGGAUAUAGUUUUGAUGGCCAUAGAUUGCGUGUGGAACUGGCUCAUGGAGGAAGAGGCCAUUCAUCGUCCUUUGAGCGCCGUAGUAGUUACAGCACUAGUGGAGGUGGCCGUGGAGGUGUCUCUAGACAUUCAGAGUACCGUGUUUUGGUUACUGGUCUUCCAUCAUCUGCCUCAUGGCAAGACCUUAAAGACCAUAUGCGUAGAGGUGGUGAUGUCUGCUUCUCCCAAGUGUACCAUGAUAGUAGAGGUACCACUGGAAUUGUAGAAUAUGCAAACUAUGAUGACAUGAAAUAUGCGAUCAGGAAACUUGAUGACUCUGAGUUUCGGAAUGCAUUUGCUCGGUCAUACAUAAGAGUGAAGGAGUAUGAUUUCCGGAGAAGCUUGUCUAGAAGCCAGAGCAUGAGUCGCUCUUUAUCUAGAAGCCCCAUCCCUAAACGUUAUCGUAGUUACAGCCGAAGCAGGAGCAGGAGCAGAAGCGAGUCGCCAAGAGUGAAGUCAUCGCACCGUUCUUUAUCAAGGUCUCGCUCAAGAUCUGUAUCCUCUCGGUCAAGAUUUGGACUUAUGCGGCGAUAUGGGGAUUGCAUAUUAGGAAGUUGAUGGGAUUUGGUGCACAUAUCCACACAAUUUGUUCUUUGCGGGAAAGCAUCCUGUUUCAUGGAUAAGCACUGCUGGAUGAAGCCAAAAAGGCUCAUUUCUUUGUACCAUUUCCUUGUUCCCCAGACUCGUUGAAGUUAAUUGGGUGUAGGAAUCAUUUAUAGGACACGAAAGAAGCAGGAAGGUUGCUCCUGGUGAUAGAAACAGGUGCUAUAAGUGCAUCAAUAGGACUCGAGCUGAGGAUCCCAAUUUGGAUUUUGGUGGGUUGAGUUAAAAAAACAAAUAUGUGCUUGAAAGUACACAUCUGUGUGCUGAUACUUCCAUGAUCAUUUCUUUUUUGUUUCAUUGUUAGUAUUGUUCUAUAUCUAUAUUAUGCUUCAUGUUUUUAAUGCGUGUUGAACACUGUUUUUUCUCUUCUUCCAUGUGGUGCCUUUGACGUGGAAGAGGUGACAAGGCUCUUUGGAUCAAAAGUGUUAAAGCAACAGUAAGCAUGAUGAUAUGAGUUAUUCAUUGAGUUAUUUUUGUAACUUUUUGCAGAUCCAGAUCCCGCUCAAGAUCCCCUGAAACCUCACCCCGGCGUGAUAAAAGACUGAGCGAGAGCCCGAGGAAGCGGAGGAGCCCUAGCAGUAGCAAGAGCCCAUCCGGGUAAAAAUGGCCUACCCUGCUCAUGGGACUGGACGAGCAACAUGUUCAGAAGCAUGAUGGACUUCUGUUUCUGUACACCAUUUAGCUAAAUCCUUCUUGGUCUUGUUGAAGUUGUUGAAAUUGUGGAUCUUUAAAUUUAGGCUAUUGAGAUAUAUUAUAAUUAGCUUUAGAUCUCUGUCGUGUUGUGAAUUAGGAGUGUUGGUAUUACUUCAUGAACCAUAUCUGGUUAUCAUUGGACACUAUGUCACCGAGUUUGUGUUUGCUUGCUGCUUGCUGCUUGCCUUUCGAGUUUUGAUAUAGGUCAAAAUAUCAAAUUAGUCACUGUAUUUUGCAUUUUCUGUCUUUUUAGUUCUCUUAAAAUAAAAUCUGUCAUUUUAGUC